rnacentral:rRNA from 1 species
UACAGAGGGGGCAAGCGUUGUUCGGAAUUACUGGGCGUAAAGGGCGCGUAUGCGGCCUGCUAAGUCGAACGUGAAAUCCCUGGGCUCAACCCAGGAACUGCGUCCGAUACUGGUUGGCUUGAAUCCGGGAGAGGGAUGUGGAAUUCCAGGUGUAGCGGUGAAAUGCGUAGAUAUCUGGAGGAACACCGGUGGCGAAGGCGACAUCCUGGACCGGUAUUGACGCUGAGGCGCGAAAGCCAGGGGAGCAAACAGG